rnacentral:rRNA from 1 species
UGGGGAAUUUUGGACAAUGGGGGCAACCCUGAUCCAGCAAUGCCGCGUGUGUGAAGAAGGCCUUCGGGUUGUAAAGCACUUUUGUCCGGAAAGAAAACGUCGUGGUUAAUACCCGUGGCGGCUGACGGUACCGGAAGAAUAAGCACCGGCUAACUACGUGCCAGCAGCCGCGGUAAUACGUAGGGUGCAAGCGUUAAUCGGAAUUACUGGGCGUAAAGCGUGCGCAGGCGGUCCGCUAAGACAGAUGUGAAAUCCCCGGGCUUAACCUGGGAACUGCAUUUGUGACUGGCGGGCUAGAGUAUGGCAGAGGGGGGUAGAAUUCCACGUGUAGCAGUGAAAUGCGUAGAGAUGUGGAGGAAUACCGAUGGCGAAGGCAGCCCCCUGGGCCAAUACUGACGCUCAUGCACGAAAGCGUGGGGAGCAAACAGGAUUAGAUACCCUGGUAGUCCACGCCCUAAACGAUGUCAACUAGUUGUCGGGUCUUCAUUGACUUGGUAACGUAGCUAACGCGUGAAGUUGACCGCCUGGGGAGUACGGUCGCAAGAUUAAAACUCAAAUGAAUUGACGGGGUCAUAGCUGUUUCCUG